CUCCAUGCAGGGGUGGCCUAACCAGCUCCCAGGACCCGGGGACCCUUUCCAUAUGCAGACUUGUGUCAACCUGGGGACACUGCCGCAGGAGCAGCAGCAGCAGCAGCAGAAGCGGGAUCAAAAAUGAGACUGCUGACACUGAGCACCGUCCAACAGAAAGGCAGCUCCUAAAGACGAGACACUGUGUCCUCAUCCACCUUCGUCACUGGAUCUGGCACCGUGUGACUCCUGGCUCUCCCCAAGUCCAAAUGGCUGUGAAAGAGCAAUGUUUUGAACCUAUUCAGGACAUUAAGACACUACGACAGCGCAACUAAUGAC
rnacentral:lncRNA from 1 species